ACAGACUUUGCUGACGAGAUGCUCCUGAUCCAAGUGAACCAGCUGGCAGGCCUGGGCAAGCAAGACACAAACAUCCUGAGCGCUGGGCCCCGCCGCCGGCGCCGGCCCGCAGUUCUCGGAGAUGAGCUGAUCGAACAGCAGGUGCAGUUCGGUGCGGCGGCCGCCGGCGGAACGCUCCGCGCCAGGCUGAGUCCGCAGCGCACCCAACCGCGCCAGGUAGCGGCGGAAGGAGCCGCCCG
rnacentral:lncRNA from 1 species